rnacentral:rRNA from 1 species
UACGGAGGGUGCAAGCGUUAUCCGGAAUCACUGGGUUUAAAGGGUGCGUAGGCGGUUUGAUAAGUCAGUUGUGAAAUUCCCCGGCUUAACCGGGUGGACUGCGAUUGAUACUGUUGAACUUGAAUCAGGUUGAGGUCGGCGGAAUGUGACAUGUAGCGGUGAAAUGCAUAGAUAUGACACAGAACACCGAUUGCGAAGGCAGCUGACGAAACUGUAACUGACGCUGAUGCACGAAAGUGCGGGGAUCAAACAGG